GGUGAACGCUGGCGGCGUGCCUAAUACAUGCAAGUCGAGCGAACGGACGAGAAGCUUGCUUCUCUGAUGUUAGCGGCGGACGGGUGAGUAACACGUGGAUAACCUACCUAUAAGACUGGGAUAACUUCGGGAAACCGUAGCUAAUACCGGAUAAUAUUUUGAACCGCAUGGUUCAAAAGUGAAAGACGGUCUUGCUGUCACUUAUAGAUGGAUCCGCGCUGCAUUAGCUAGUUGGUAAGGUAACGGCUUACCAAGGCAACGAUGCAUAGCCGACCUGAGAGGGUGAUCGGCCACACUGGAACUGAGACACGGUCCAGACUCCUACGGGAGGCAGCAGUAGGGAAUCUUCCGCAAUGGGCGAAAGCCUGACGGAGCAACGCCGCGUGAGUGAUGAGGGUCUUCGGAUCGUAAAACUCUGUUAUUAGGGAAGAACAUAUGUGUAAGUAACUGUGCACAUCUUGACGGUACCUAAUCAGAAAGCCACGGCUAACCACGUG
rnacentral:rRNA from 1 species